CUGCAUCCACUGAUAGACCUUGAACAAUUUGCUGUUGUUCUUUUGGUUUGCACUAGGAUGCAAAAGAAAAAAUAUUCCCUGCGCUUUCUGUCUGUCUUUGUGGCGGCUCAGAUUGAAUUAGGGAAUACAUUU
ensembl:snoRNA